AUUGAGGUCUAUCCCAAUGGGGCUUUUCCAGUAGCUAAGCAUCCUUGGAAACAUACAAGAACCCUGUGGUUUCCCUAUAUUCACAGGAUUUACAUAGGCCUGAAGGGAGUACAAAACAACU
rnacentral:snoRNA from 1 species